AUGGCAACCCACUUCAUUCUUCUUGCUUAGGAAAUCCCAUGGACAAAGGAGCCUGGCAGGCUACAGUCCUUGGGGUCUCCAAGGGUCGGGGACAUGACUUAGUAACUAAACAGCAGCAGUAGCAGUGAGAUCUAGGAAGUUUGGGGCUUGAGCUGGGCUAAGAGGAAUGGUGAAAAAUGAACAUUUUCAACAAGACUUAAGAGAGAGAACAUUUGGCUUGUUUAGGAUGCAGAAAAUCAAAUUUAUUUGUAAUGAGUCCUUGUAGGGGAGCCCAUCUGUGACCCAUAGUGGUAACUCAGGGGCCUUUUGUGGGAGGGAACCUUGAUGUCAGGCUAAGGAAUUUGACAUUUACCAUAUGACUUGUUCUUCACAGUGUGUUCUAUAGGUCACCAAAUCAAACCCACUGAAAGAGAUUGUUAAAAUACAGAUUCCUGGUUAUCAGACUGAUUGAAUUGAAAUCUCUGUGGGCAAGGCCUUGUAAUCUGCAUUUUCUCCCCCCUCCCCCAUAUGAGGAGCAGAAUUUGGAAAUCCCUAUUAACCUUCGAGAAAUAUUUUUAAAGUAGGAGAGUGAUGUGGUCAAAACUUUAUUUUAGAAAAGAUUAGUUUGGGGAUGGAAUUUAGGAUUGAUUAUUGGAGUAAGGUGAAAUUCAAUUAGAAAGGAUAAUAUGUAUCCUUGUUACUGAGGCCUGAAUAGUGAUGGGAGUGAAGAGGCAACACCCUAAGAUAAUGCAAAGGGAAAAUUUUGUCCUCUUUAUAGUUAUAACAUUUUAAUUUUUUGAUAUAUACUGUAGUAUACUUUGUUUUUGGCUAGGCAUAUUUCACUGUGAAUGGGCUAAAUAAGAUACUUCCUCCCGUUAAAUUUAUAAAAGUACUAAAUUUUACAGAUAAAACCUGGCUUGUCAGGUACUUGGGAGAGGUUUCAGUUAAGGCAAGAGUACUGGAGUGGGGUGCCAUUGCCUUCUGCCUUGGGCAAAUAAAAGACUAAGUUGUUUACUGGCAAAAAAAAAAACCAAAAACAAAAGAUAGGAAUUAGGACCAAGUAGGCCUGGGGAGAAUGAA